GAUGCACGCUGGCGGCGUGCCUAAUACAUGCAAGUCGAGCGAACGGACGAGAAGCUUGCUUCUCUGAUGUUAGCGGCGGACGGGUGAGUAACACGUGGAUAACCUACCUAUAAGACUGGGAUAACUUCGGGAAACCGGAGCUAAUACCGGAUAAUAUUUUGAACCGCAUGGUUCAAAAGUGAAAGACGGUCUUGCUGUCACUUAUAGAUGGAUCCGCGCUGCAUUAGCUAGUUGGUAAGGUAACGGCUUACCAAGGCAACGAUGCAUAGCCGACCUGAGAGGGUGAUCGGCCACACUGGAACUGAGACACGGUCCAGACUCCUACGGGAGGCAGCAGUAGGGAAUCUUCCGCAAUGGGCGAAAGCCUGACGGAGCAACGCCGCGUGAGUGAUGAAGGUCUUCGGAUCGAAAAACUCUGUUAUUAGGGAAGAACAUAUGUGUAAGUAACUGUGCACAUCUUGACGGUACCUAAUCAGAAAGCCACGGCUAACUACGUG
rnacentral:rRNA from 1 species